GACGAACGCUGGCGGUAUGCUUAACACAUGCAAGUCGAACGAGAAGUCUUUUAUUGACCCUUCGGGGGAUAUAAGAGACAGACAGUGGCGAACGGGUGAGUAACGCGUGGGCAACCUACCUAUCGGAGCGGGAUAGCCUCGAGAAAUCGGGAGUAAAACCGCAUAACACGGAUAUAUCGCAUGAUGAAUCCGUCAAAACUCCGGUGCCGAUAGAUGGGCCCGCGUCUGAUUAGCUAGUUGGUAAGGUAAGGGCUUACCAAGGCAACGAUCAGUAGCCGGUCUGAGAGGGCGAACGGCCACACUGGAACUGAGACACGGUCCAGACUCCUACGGGAGGCAGCAGUGGGGAAUAUUGCGCAAUGGGGGCAACCCUGACGCAGCAAUACCGCGUGAGUGAAGAAGGUUUUCGGAUCGUAAAGCUCUGUUAUUGGGGAAGAAGCAGUGACGGUACCCAAUGAGGAAGUCCGGUA
rnacentral:rRNA from 1 species